GCCCUCCCCUUCUCUAAAGAAUAAAAAAAACGGGUACUCCCAUCUUCUUCUUGAUCAAAAAUCGCAAAAGAAGAAAAAAACCUUUCCCCUCUGGAAAACCUCAACAACUAGCAGCCCCACCUAAUCCCUUUCUUAGAAAAAAAAAAGAAGAAGCUUCGAUCUGCCGCUCAGUUUCAAACGGAAUAUAGGGACCAAGAUAUCUUUGUUCUUCAUUGUUCAUUCUGAUGUUUGAUUUUCUUUUAAAAAAAAGGAUUGCAUUUGGUUGAGUUGAGGUCAUUUGGAGGUGUUCGUUGGUUGCCGCUCGAGAAAUUCUUGCUCGAACAGAUACGUUCGAAAGCUGAGUUGAGGACUGUUGCUGUUUCUCUUGCUGGUUUUGCUUCAUUUGUGGCUGGGUUUCAUCAUCUUCUUUUCUGAUUUAGGAUUUAUUUGUUGCUGUUUAGGUAAGUCCAAUUAUACCAUUUGUCUUAAAUAUAAAUUAUGAAUGAGAUCUAAGUUGUUGUACUAUUUUCUUUUAUAGAUCUAGCAUUUGUUUGUUUAAGUUUGUUCAAAAACGUCCCUUUGCUGUUGAUCUUUGAAGCUAAGAGAAGGGAAAAACUGAUUGUUUAAUACAAUUGUUAUUAAAGCUGAGGUUUAUUCAUAAGCUAUAAAUAUGAUAGUAUACUUGGGCCUUCCAUUGUGUUGUACGUAGAACAAUGCUUUUUUUGGUAUUUUGGGUAAAUUUAAACCUUCAUAUGAAUCUGACAAGAUCUUGAUUAAUUCUUUAAAUUGGUUUUUUGUGUGCUGUAUAUAAGUAGUAAUCUUGUUUUCAAAAGCUAAGCACCCAUGUGACAUAAUACGUAUCCGCCAUUGUGAAUCAAGUAUUUUUCAAUUUCAAAUUUGUGAGGGCCAGCAAUUAAUCCCUCGAUUUCUCUUUGUGCUUAUUUCUUUCUGGUUGUAAAUCAUUUGUAUUUAGAUGUCAUUAGUAUACAAGAAUCUAUUUGAACUUAUCUAGACAACUAUGAGAUUUGAUUAUAUGUAAACUACUUUUUAUUUAGAUGUCAUUAGUAUUACAAUAAUCGUCAGCUAUGAUGUGAUUCUGAUUAUAUGUAAACUAAUGCUGCACUGUGGCCCGGGCCUGAACCGGACCGAAUGGGCUCGCGGUCAUGGCGGGUCUGGUGGGCCAAUCCGGGUGGUCCUGGGCCUGGUGUUAUUUUUAGGCCCGUGACAGGCCGGUCCGCAUUCAUUAGCCCGUGAACCCGGGAUCAUUAGGCCCGGGAUCGUCAGCCGGGCCUGGGCCGGUCCUGACGGGCCUAAACGGGCCCAAUGGCUAUAUUUUUAAUUUUUUUUUUAAAAUCAGCAAUGAACAUUUUUUAAAUAGUAGCCGUUUGGGCUGCUAUUUGAUCGUUUGGAGGUUUAAUUUAACCACAAACUUUAUAUAAUUAUAUUUUUACCCAUUUCUCAACUAUAAAUACUCCCUCAUUAUUUUAUUUUUUUCACCAAUUCAUCAAUAUCUCUCAAUCUCUGAAUCUUUCUACUACAAUUUCUUAAUUUAUUGUUGAAAACUCGUGAAAAAUUGUGAAGUUGUUGAAUUGAAGUUUUCAAGUGUUCAACGAUUUUCAAUUUUCAAGAAGUUGUUCGGCAAUCCGNNNNNNNNNNNNNNNNNNNNNNNNNNNNNNNNNNNNNNNNNNNNNNNNNNNNNNNNNNNNNNNNNNNNNNNNNNNNNNNNNNNNNNNNNNNNNNNNNNNNNNNNNNNNNNNNNNNNNNNNNNNNNNNNNNNNNNNNNNNNNNNNNNNNNNNNNNNNNNAUGGUUUGGAGGUUUAAUUUAACCACAAACUUUAUAUAAUUAUAUUUUUACCCAUUUCUCAACUAUAAAUACUCCCUCAUUAUUUUAUUUUUUUCACCAAUUCAUCAAUAUCUCUCAAUCUCUGAAUCUUUCUACUACAAUUUCUUAAUUUAUUGUUGAAAACUCGUGAAAAAUUGUGAAGUUGUUGAAUUGAAGUUUUCAAGUGUUCAAUAAUUUUCAAUUGUCAAGAAGUUUUUCGGCAAUCUGGUAAACUCGUUUCAACUCUUAGGUUUUAAUAAUAUAUUUUUGUGUGGUUUAGUUUGCAUAAUAUAAUUAAUAUGACAUUUUCUUUGAAAAAACUAUUUGGUAAAUGAGAGAUUUGUAUGGUCGGACGAGUGUGAGGAGAGAUUUCAGAAGCUCAAGAAAGCUUUGACCACGGCUCCAGUGUUGGUUUUGCAAUCAGCUUCACGUUCAUAUACAAUAUAUUGUGAUGCUUCGAGUGUAGGGAUUGGUUGUGUGUUGAUGCAGGAGGGUAGAGUUAAUGUAUAUACUUCUCGUCAAUUGAAGUCCCACGAGAAGAACCACACUAUUCAUGAUUUGGAGGUGGCUGCCAUAGUUCACACAUUGAAGAUUUGGAGGCAUUAGUUGUAUAGCGUGUCUUGUGAGGUAUUCACUGAUCAUCGCAGUUUUCAGCAUUUGUUCAAACAGAAGGAUCAUAAUUUGAGAAAGCGGAGAUGGUUGGAGUUGCUUAAGGAUUAUGACAUUACUAUAUUGUACCAUCCGGGAAAGGUCAAUGUUGUGGCCGAUGCUUUGAGCCGAAAGGAAGUAAGUAUCGGGAGUUCGGCAUAUAUUCCAAUUGGGGAGGUUGUGACGACCUAUCCAGUUGCCUCAUGAGUUACCACUUUAUUUUCCCUACUUCUACUUUAUUAUGCUUCGUUAUCUGUGUUUUGUAGUAUCGGUUUGCCCGGAUCGAGUCUAGAAUGAUUUUGGCAAGGUAUGAGACACUUAGUCUCUUUUAAGAAUGUUUAAGUUGGAAAAGUCAACCGGAUAUUGACUUAUGUGUUAGAGUGCUCGGAUGUGAGUUCUGAUGUUUCGAUUAGCUUUGGGAGGCGAUUUAUGACUUAGGAGUGUGAUCAGGAUUGGUUUUGGAGGCCCUGAGAGGAAUUUGGCUUGAAUUGGAGAAAGUGAUAUUCUUGCGAUUUCCGGUUGAUAGGUGAGAUUUUGAUAUAAGGGUCGGAAUGAAAUCUUGAGAGUCGCAGUAGGUUCGUUAUAUUAUUUGGGAUGUGUGUGCAAUAUUUCAGGUCAUUCGGACGUGGCUUGGCUGGAUUUUUUUAUCAAAAGUGUAUUUCGGAAGAUUUUUGAAACUUGGGCUUGAAUACGAUGUGUUUUGGGUAAUGUGAUGUUGUUUGAGGUGUUUUGAUGAUUACAAGUUUUAAUAAGAUAUUGGGUCAUCUUUGUACUUUUGGUUGAGGUCCCGGGAGCCUCGGGACAAUUUCGGAUGGUUAAUGGGAAGAUUUUGGUACUUAGGAGACUGAGGAAAAAUUUGCUCCUUCUAGUAUUUUCGCACCUGCGGUUUGGGGACCGCAGGUGCGGUGUCGCACAUGUAGGAGAAGAACUACAGAAGUGGUUUUGGGAGAGAAAGACUAGAACCGCAGAUGUGGUAGGGGGCCCACACCUAUAGAGCCGCAGAUGCAGUUUUGGCCCAUUAAUGAAUUUCUGCAGAACCGAACCGUUGGACCGCAUAUGCGGUACCGCAGAUGCGGAAAGGCUUGGGCAGACCUUAUAUGUUAUUUCACUUCGAGAUUUUGGGUUAUUUCACCAUUGUUGCCUUCGGCCUUAGAGGUUUAGGAGAGAUUCUGGAAAGGGAAAUCAAGAGACUUCGCUGAAGUAAGGAUUUCUUGACCUAAAACUCAAUUCUAAGGUAGAUUUUCAUUGAUUUAGCGGUGUAAUUAAAGGAAAUGAAAGACUAAAAUAGAGGAUUAGGGCUUGAAAUAAGAGACUUCUAAAUGAGGACUUGAGGGAUGAUUUGGACUCCAAUUUUUGUUUUCUAGGUAUAUAUGAACUCGUAGGAAGACGAGAAAUUUAAUGAUGUAAAAAAUUUUGUGUUUCAAGAAGCGUGCCUGGGGCUUGGGUUUUGAUAAUUUUGGUAUUUUUGAUUUUUUAGCUUGGGCUUUGUUCCCUUAGUGAUGUAUUCGUUAUGAUUUUGGAUAGAUUCGAUGCGCGUGGAGGCCAAUUCGAGAGGCAAAGGCGUCGCGAGCUAAAGAUUUAGCCAGUUUGAGGUGAUUAAUAAUUGUAAAUGAUAUUUUGAGGGUUUGACUAUGUGGAGGUGACUUACACGCCGGAUAGCGAGCUUGGGGUAGAGCACUGUUGGGGUUUAUGACUUAGUCCAUCCCGAUUGAUGAUUUUACCGCGUAUUUAACUAAGACUUAUUCGUUUUCAUCACGAAUUGGGUUGAAUGCCAUAUUUAGGCCUUGUGCCAUUUAUUUUGACCCUUUGGGGAUAUUUACUGAUAUUUUCCUCACUGUUUGAUCUAAUAUUUGAACUCAGUCUUGAUUAUUCCCACUGUUUUACUAUUCAGCCACUCUUUUCUCAGUUUUGAAAACUUAAAUGAUAAUUUAAAUGAUGCUUGGGCUGACAAUAAUAUUUUUACUAUUGUCCGAGGGGCUUGUGAUGAUUUUUGGACUGAGUAAGGCCGAGGGCCUAUGUUGUGAGGAACAUAGAUACUGAUAUGAGGCUGAGGGCCUGAGAUACACUUAUACGCCACAAGGUGGCUUGAUUGAUAUGAGGCCGAGGGCCUAGAUUUGAUGUCACGAGAUGGCUUGAUAUUGUACUUGGGUCGUAAGGGUGCCCCUCCAAGAGUUUGCACACCCCCAAUGAGCAUGGGUAUCCAUUUUGAUAUGAGAUUGAGCCUGAGGGGCUGAAGUUGUUGAUACUGUGCCCGAGGGGCAAACUGUUAUAUGUUUACUUUAUCUUAUUUGUCUACCAAUUACCUGUUUAUCUGUUGUAGAAAUAUUUUUAUGCUAUUUUUCAUUGGUUUCUUGCUUGCAAUUACUUAUUUAACCGCUUCAUUAUAGAUUACUUUGUGUAUACAUGUUUUCUUACUUUCAACCAUUAUUUAUUUUUACUACUCGCUAGGUCGGAGUACUCACAUUACUUCCUGCACCAUAUGUGCAGAUUCAAACUUAGCAGGUUUCGCUACCGAGUGCUGAUUCAUUCUAGCUUCAGGCGGGUCUUCGAGGAGUCUUUAAGUAGCUACUGGCGUUCGCAGCUUGGAGCUCCUCUCUAUCUGUUUCUUUUACAUUUUUCUUAGCUCAAUAUUGGAAACUCUGUAUUUACAUUUAAGGGUUUAGUAUUAUAGAUGCUCGUGACUUAUGACACCCCGGUUAGGGCUAUGUGGGGGUGGUUUCAUUUCUGUUUUGUUAUUUUUGUCUCCGCUACUUCUUAUUAUUAAAC
rnacentral:lncRNA from 1 species